rnacentral:rRNA from 1 species
CACGCUGUAAACGAUAAUCACUAGACGUCGGUCUGGCUUAGCUGGAUCGGUGUCGAAGCUAACGCGUUAAGUGAUUCGCCUGGGGNAGGAACCUUACCUGGACUUGACAUGUCUUUGACAGUUGUAGAAAUACAAUCUUCUAGGCUUCGGUCUAGACAAUUACACAGGUGC